rnacentral:rRNA from 1 species
AGAUACUGCUAUCAGAGUUCGGCUAAGCCAUGCAAGUCAGCUCUCCCACUUGGGAGGGCGGCAAACGGCUCAUUAGCACGUAGUCAAUCUGCCCUGGGGACGUGGACAGGGUCGGGAAACUGACUCUAACCCGCGAUAGUCCAUCAACGCUGGAAUGCCUGAUGGACCAAACCUGCCAUGAAUUGGAAUGGCUAGGCCCUAGGAUGAGACUGCGCCUGAUUAGGUAGUUGGUGGGGUAACGGCCCACCAAGCCGAUAAUCAGUGGGGGCAUUGGGAGAUGGAGCCCCGAGAAGGGCACUGAGACAAGGGCCCUAGUCCUACGGGAUGCAGCAGGCGCGAAAACUUUGCAAUGCGCGAAAGCGUGACAAGGGAACUCUGAGUGGUAGGCGUUUAGCCUAUCUUUUUGUGAGCCUAAACAGCUCGCAGAAUAAGCUCUGGGCAAGACCAGUGCCAGCCGCCGCGGUAAAACCAGCACCUCAAGUGGUCAGGAUGAUUAUUGGGCCUAAAGCAUCCGUAGCCUGCUUUGUCAGUUUUCGGUUAAAUCCAUACGCUCAACGUAUGGGCCGCCGGAAAUACUGCAAAGCUAGGGAGUGGGAGAGGUAGACGGUACUCGGGAGGAAGGGGUAAAAUCCUUUGAUCUCUCGAUGACCACCUGUUGCGAAGGCGGUCUACCAGAACACGUCCGACGGUGAGGGAUGAAAGCUGGGGGAGCAAACCGGAUUAGAUACCCGGGUAGUCCCAGCUGUAAACUAUGCAAACUCAGUGAUGCAUUGGCUUGAUGCCAAUGCAGUGUUGCAGGGAAGCCGUUAAGUUUGCCGCCCGGGAAGUACGUACGCAAGUAUGAAACUUAAAGGAAUUGGCGGGGGAGCACCACAAGGGGUGAAGCCUGCGGUUC